rnacentral:lncRNA from 1 species
AAAAGUAUCGCGAAUGUAGACGGCAUAGACCCAUUUGAAAUUAAAUGUCGAGAUUUACAAUAUGGAGAUUUAGAGUAGGCGAAUUGUCUAGUUAUUCCAGCCUGACCCACUUGUCAAAUUAAUUUGUUCCGACCUGUAUGUAACAUAUUGAAUCCAGUAGUAGAAUUAAUUCUUCAAAUUAACUCAUUUCCAUCCUGGGUUGAAAAAGGAGAUGGAUUUUCUAAUUAUUCCAGCCUGGUGUUGACAAAAGGAAAGAAGGGGAGAAAUUAUUUUCUUGGUGUCUCCGCCUGUUUCAAAUGAGGAGGUUUUUCUCUCUCUCUCUGUCGUCUCAUUCUCUCUCCCUCGCCUCUUUAUUUUCGUUGAGUUAAGUUCGGCGGUCACCGUCGUUUUAUCGUCUGGCGACUGGACGCCGGGUUUGGGUUCUGGCUUUGCCGGAAGGAAAGUCAGCGGCGCUUGGUGCGCCUGGGUUUUCUCAAUCGCGGCUCAGGGGCAGCGGUCGUUGGGUGACUGGUGGCCGGAAGCGGGCCUUUUGCCGGGUAAUCGAAGGAGGAGAG